AGUUAAUAUUAUCACAGAACUAUGUAACCAUGGUUGAAAUACAUACAUCUUAGAAUAUAGUGAAUAUACCUUAUAAUUUAUAAAAGCUUCCAAUAUUGGUAAGGAAAGUAAGGAUUAGUUAAGUUCAAAAUUUAAUUAAAACAAACAAACACAUACACAAUACUUGUAAGUAGUCAAUUAAAGUUUAUUAAUAAUUUAUUUUAAUAGAUGUUCAAACUGAUGACCAUCUACUUCCAAACAAAUUGCCAGUCGUUUAAAUCAUUUACAUUAGCAGGCAUUUCUUUGUAAACUACACUUUGAAGAUAACCCCAAAGAAAAUAAUAUGGCGAAGUCAGAUCGGGACUACGAGGUGGCCAACAUAUUUUUGGACUGUACGUUCCCAUCCAAUUUGUACCAAAA